rnacentral:lncRNA from 1 species
GGUACUGCCUGGUAGACAUGAGAUAGACAUGCAUACAUCAGUUGGUCUACAUGGCUACAGAACAUUGGGGAAAAGGAAUAAAAUGAGCUUUUGUCCUGUAGAAGCUAUGAGAGUCCAGAUUCUUUAAAGGGGCACUGAUGACAAAGGCACAGGCAAGCUAAUAAUUCCAAAAGGGAGGUCCAGCCAAUCAGGAUGAUGGGAAAUUUGGGCCCAAGAACCUCAUACAGAAUUUAGGCCCAUGUAUAUGUGAUAAGAGAUUUAAGCCUAGUCUACAAAAUUGAAUCCUGAAGAGUAUACAGCUCAUUUUCAGAUGUGGGCAUGUGCUGUCUGGACAAAGGUGGGAUGUCUUCAGCAAAGUCUAGAGGAAGGACAAGGACACUGAAGGGAGGGUCACAGAUAGGCACAGACUUCAUCUAUGUAAUAGACCCUGGAAUAAAAUAUGUUUCCUGCCCUCCAGCUACUUGCUGCAUGAACAGACAUUUUGUGCUACUAUAAACACACUUUUUAGGUAUUCAACUUUACAAGAGUCAAAAAUACUGUUUUAUGUUCUCCUUGAACUCUAUUUAGGCACCCAACCUCUCCUUCUUGCUAAAAUCUUGAAUGUCCUUGUUCAACCCUGAGUUUUGUUUUCCUUUGCAAACGAAUCAUUGUCCUCAUGUCCUCUUGGUAUUUUUACUCAGGAUUAUAAUGGCCAAGUUUAAAUCUGCCCCCACUGUGCAUAAAUAGAGAAUAAGAACUGAGUUAACAGGAUGUGUCUUCCAAGAAGGUUGUGGCAUAUUUCCAGGCAAAGGUCAAGCACAUACUUAAAGAGAUGACCUAGGAUACCUUACAGUACAGAACUUUAAAAAAGAAUCUGCUUGCUGCAUCAUAGGGGAGAGGAGACAGACCAGAGGAACAAAGAAAUUGGUACUUGAGCCAUUCUUCUCAAUCACACAUUCAAACACACAGAGAACAAGCAAAGGUCAUGUAAUCUCCAGGUGUGUGUUAGGAUGAGUUUCCUUAGAGGUGAAGGAACAACAUUUCAUGGGGUUUCACUAAAAAGACUUUGCAUAUCAGAAAGUUAAAAGUUUACAAAACUAUUUUGAAAUGUUGAUCUUUUUAGUGUAUUUUCUUGCAAUCUUUACAUCAAUCUUUAGAUUUAAAAACCAUUAUAAAUAUCCUAGUAAUAUGUCAGUGUCUAUACAAAAAUAGUGUAAAAUAAAUAAGUGCAUUUAUGGCUAGAAGCUAUAUGU